rnacentral:rRNA from 1 species
UACAGAGGUCUCAAGCGUUGUUCGGAUUCAUUGGGCGUAAAGGGUGCGUAGGUGGCGCGCUAAGUCAGGUGUGAAAUUUCGGAGCUUAACUCCGAAACUGCAUUUGAUACUGGCGUGCUUGAGGACUGGAGAGGGAGACUGGAAUUCAUGGUGUAGCAGUGAAAUGCGUAGAGAUCAUGAGGAAGACCAGUGGCGAAGGCGGGUCUCUGGGCCGAUACUGACGCUGAGGAGCGAAAGCAUGGGGAGCGAACAGG